rnacentral:rRNA from 1 species
AAGCUAAAUACUGGCCGGAGACCGAUAGCGCACAAGUAGAGUGAUCGAAAGAUGAAAAGCACUUUGGAAAGAGAGUCAAACAGUACGUGAAAUUGUUGAAAGGGAAGCGCUUGGCGCCAGACCUGCCGGCGGGUGAUCAGCGGUCGUUCUCGGCCGUGUACUCGCCCGUCAUCAGGCCAGCAUCGGUUUUGGCGGUCGGAUAAAGGCCUUGGGAAUGUAGCUCCCCUCGGGGAGUGUUAUAGCCCUCGGUGGAAUGCGG